rnacentral:tRNA from 1 species
GUUCGGGUAGCUCAGUUGGAUAGAGCACUGGAUUCCUAAUCCGGGGGUCGUAGGUUCGAAUCCUAUCUCGAACA